rnacentral:rRNA from 1 species
UACGUAGGGCGCGAGCGUUGUCCGGAAUUAUUGGGCGUAAAGGGCUCGUAGGCGGUCUGUCACGUCGGGAGUGAAAACUCAGGGCUUAACCCUGAGCCUGCUUCCGAUACGGGCAGACUAGAGGUAUGCAGGGGAGAACGGAAUUCCUGGUGUAGCGGUGAAAUGCGCAGAUAUCAGGAGGAACACCGGUGGCGAAGGCGGUUCUCUGGGCAUUACCUGACGCUGAGGAGCGAAAGUGUGGGGAGCGAACAGG